GCUGGGAUGUGAUGGGGAGCGAAAUUUAGUAGCGAAGUAGCUGAUUUCACACUGUCAAGAAAAGUCUCUAUCGAGGUUAAAGGUACCCGUACCGCAAACCGACACAGGUGGGUGAGGAGAGUAUCCUAAGGCCAGCGAGAGAACUGUUGUUAAGGAACUCGGCAAAAUGACCCCGUAACUUAGGGAUAAGGGGUGCCACCAUCCGGUGGCCGCAGAGAAUAGGCCCAAGCGACUGUUUACCAAAAACAUAGGUUUCUGCUAAGUCGCAAGACGAUGUAUAGGAGCUGACGCCUGCCCGGUGCUGGAAGGUUAAGGGGAUCUGUUAGAGCAAUCGAAGCAGUGAACUUAAGCCCCAGUAAACGGCGGCCGUAACUAUAACGGUCCUAAGGUAGCGAAAUUCCUUGUCGGGUAAGUUCCGACCCGCACGAAAGGCGUAACGAUUUGGGCACUGUCUCAACAACAGACUCGGUGAAAUUGUAAUUCCGGUGAAGAUGCCGGAUACCUGCGACAGGACGGAAAGACCCCAUGGAGCUUUACUGUAGCUUGACAUUGGGUCUUGGUACUACAUGUACAGGAUAGGUGGGAGGCUUUG
rnacentral:rRNA from 1 species